GAUGAAGAACGCAGCAAAAUGCGAUAAGUAAUGUGAAUUGCAGAAUUCAGUGAAUCAUCGAAUCUUUGAACGCACAUUGCGCCCGCUGGUAUUCCGGCGGGCAUGCCUGUUCGAGCGUCAUUUCAACCCUCAAGCCCCCCGGGUUUGGUGUUGGGGAUCGGCUCUGCCUCACGGCGGUGCCGCCCCCGAAAUACAUUGGCGGUCUCGCUGCAGCCUCCAUUGCGUAGUAGCUAACACCUCGCAACUGGAACGCGGCGCGGCCAUGCCGUAAAACCCCAACUUCUGAAUGUUGACCUCGGAUCAGGUAGGAAUACCCGCUGAACUUAAGCAUAUCAAUAAGCGGAGGA
rnacentral:misc_RNA from 1 species